rnacentral:pre_miRNA from 1 species
GUAGUACUCCCUCCGUCCGGAAAUACUUGUCCUCAAAAUGGAUAAAAUGAAAUGUAUCUAUAACUAAAAUAAGUCUAGAUACAACCAUUUCGAGGACAAGUAUUUCCGGACGGAGGGAGUAGUAA